rnacentral:rRNA from 1 species
UACGUAGGGUGCGAGCGUUGUUCGGAAUUACUGGGCGUAAAGCGUGCGCAGGCGGUAAGUUAAGUCUGAUGUGAAAGCCCCGGGCUCAACCUGGGAAUGGCAUUGGAAACUGGCUUGCUGGAGUGUGGCAGAGGGGGGUGGAAUUCCGCGUGUAGCAGUGAAAUGCGUAGAGAUGCGGAGGAACACCGAUGGCGAAGGCAGCCCCCUGGGCCAACACUGACGCUCAGGCACGAAAGCGUGGGGAGCAAACAGG